CUGUGGGCAUAGAAAUAUGUCAAACCCAAUCACUUAUCUUUAUAUAUCUCAAUUUGAAGGUGAUGAUUCAAUUAAUGAUACUUUACAAAUUUUUUUGUAAUUAUCAUCUUGCUUUGGCCAAAGACUUCCAGAAUCACUGUCCUAUGAGAUCACAUAGGAUGUUCGCUCCUCUUAUUAGGAGUAAUUGAUCCUUUAUUGAUCACUCACAAUCUUUAUGCAUACUUCACCAUAUCUAGAACACCACACAUAAGUUUCAGAGAGUCAAGUUAGGUAGUGAACAA
rnacentral:lncRNA from 1 species